rnacentral:rRNA from 1 species
UACGUAGGGUGCAAGCGUUGUCCGGAAUUAUUGGGCGUAAAGGGCUCGUAGGCGGUUUGUCGCGUCGGCUGUGAAAACUCGGGGCUCAACCCCGAGCCUGCAGUCGAUACGGGCAGACUAGAGUGCUGUAGGGGAGACUGGAAUUCCUGGUGUAGCGGUGAAAUGCGCAGAUAUCAGGAGGAACACCGGUGGCGAAGGCGGGUCUCUGGGCAGUAACUGACGCUGAGGAGCGAAAGCGUGGGGAGCGAACAGG